UGCAACAAGCACCAUCAGAUCCAGUACAGUGAUCUGAAUGAUAGGAAUACAGCUUCUCCUGUAGAGAUGGGGAGAUGGGGUCAGAGCAUCUAUCAGCCCUGUUGUUCUCACCUUCUGCACCUGUUUAUUUCAUUCACAUUCUCAGAAUACUGCCUACAUCAUGCAUGUGAAACAGUUAUGGGAUAAAUUCUUGGUUUUUCACAGCCUCUUCUGUUUCCUUUCUUGCUGUUCUUUAUAUGGAGCAUAUUUUUAAUAUGUAUUACAGACACAAUGGGAAAAGAGAAGACUUGUUUUCCACAAAUAGAAGAUCAAAAUUGAUCCACCCCAUUCAUAAAGCUGGUGGGAUUAGGACGUGGUACCAAGGCCCUGGUCCAUUUUGUGGAUAACUCCACCAUCUGAUGGAUCCUUUUUCUCCUGAACAAACAGAUGAUCAACAACUGAUGGCAGUGCCUCUUCCUGCCCCAAACAACUCCUCUGGAUUGCUUGGUUUAAAAGCAAACCCCAAAAGAUCCUGGGAAGCCCUCAAGAGAUGUCUUAAAGAAAUUCCACCACCACACUGCUCCUUUGAGAGAUGGGCAGCUUCUCAUGCAAUGGCAGGACAACCCAACAGAUGGUGGUGGAGAUGCUGGAAGCCCAGGGAUUCCCUUUUCACCUGGAGAUCUGGUGGUUGUUAAAGUGAGAUUGUUUGGAUGUAUGUCUUCCCUCUAAGUCCUUGUUGCUCUGUUAAGUCAUAGGUAGUAAGACAUCCUGCUUCAGAUUUUUGUCCUUCAGUAUCAUCUCCCAUUGAUUCAUCCUGGUCCUCAGAGGCUGCCAUGGACCCCAUCACCAGUACAGCAGAGGAAGUAAAGUUGCCUGUGAGCUAUAAAGGGUUGUGUGAGGAUCCAGAAAGAAAAUGUAACAGUGAGACAGAAGAAGUGUUCCCCAUGAGGUCUGGCUUAGGUUCAACAGUUGAGACAAUAUUUGGUCUACUUUCAUCCUAAAAGCAACAGAAACAGAGACUUCUCCAGCUAGUGAUAGCAAGGAGGGAAGGUCACACCACUAUCCAUGGCUUUGUUGUUCAAACUGAAGGUGUCUGAGAUGGCCUAAGGACAGACUUUGUCAAAAUAACUAAAGCAGGGCUGGGAUAGAAGAGCUGUGCCCCUUUGGCUAAACCCACUUCCAGUGAGGUCACUGUAGGAACGCAAGCAGAGUCUGUAUGGUCACCCAUAAAACUGAUCUCACCUUCCCCAUCACCCACCUGAGAGCCACAGGCUUCUUUUUGCCAGCAGCUACAUUUUCUUGGCAGUACUAUCUGUCCUGCCCCCUCAUUUACCCAGAUAAAUGUAUGCUUGGUUAAUGCUGCGAGUAUUAAAUAAACUCCCCGCCUGAUCUGCCCA
rnacentral:lncRNA from 1 species